UCACCUUUCCGGCGGCUCCUGGGGAUAGAGUAAUUUUUUUCGGGAAACCUGUGCUGUUAGUCUUAGACAAAACUUUUGAUGGCCUUUUGGGUCAUAUGAAGGGACACCCAGCCCCUGUUCCCAAAUAGCGAGUUUUGAGGAGAUGAGCAGAUAAACUGCUUUGUGCUGGGAAUGCCUCUCUGUCCAGGGAGGAAGUUGAGGUGCCCAGGUGAAGCAGCACCCCAGAGGAUGACUUGAAUACUGAUGGUGGUACCAGUGAGGAACCUGGAGGUGAACAACACCAAUCCCUGGGAGGCUUUACUCCAUGUAGUCAACUUAGGGGCCCAAGCUGACAAAGACCCCACGGUCUUUUAACUGUACAGUCUGGAAUGCAAAGUCUCUAAUGGUCCUGCAGAGAAUGAAGAGAGAGAUGGAGGACAUACACAUGUUUUUAACUGCUUUGAAUCCGAAGUGACACAUGUCACUUCCACUCUUGGUCCUUUGUUCUGAACUAGCUGCAUGGCCCAAGCCUAACUGCAAGAGAAGCAGGAAAUGGAAAGAGGAUGUGAAUUUUCAGUGAACUGUAAUUGCUCUGUUACACUAGUGAUAGCCCUACAAAAACGGUUAAAAAAAAAAAAGAUGCAUUUUCUUCUAGUUAAAGUCCAACCUCUCCUUGAUGAAUGAAGUCAUUCUUCUUUGUGUUAGUUCUCAUGGCAGUCAUUGACUUCAGAGUAACUCAUCACAGAGAGGUCUCCCACAUUCUGAGUCUUCAAAUAACAGAGCUGGAGGAAUCUCAGAAAGAACUUCCAGGUCAACCUUUACAUGGAAAUCAGUGCUCUGAAUUGGCUCACUCCUGUUCAUGAGGAAUGCUGACACAGGAAGAAUCUAAGAAACAGAAACCCCAGGACUCUUUUUGCACUCUUGCCAGCCCACCUGGGUACUUGGCAAAUGCCUUAACACUUGACAUGGCUAAUUCUGAAAGUCAGAUACUAUGAUAAAACAGUGUGGGAGGAAAAACUGUUGACCUAUUUCCUGGAGAAUAGAAAAAAUUCUGCCAAAACAAAGAUGUUUCCAGAGAGUGGGUUGGUUUUGAUAAAUAAUUAACUUGGUUUGGUUUCAUUGUGUCUGGAGGAGUAAUUACAAGAGCAUGUUCACGCCCCUGGAGUUUUGUUGUCACAUUUUCCACAAUAAAAUCUCCUUUGAAAAAAAUGUGUUCAGAAACUUGGCUAUAAAAUGGCUCUUGUCUGAAGAAUGCCAUGAAAACUUUCACAGUUUAUGGGCAACAUUU